rnacentral:rRNA from 1 species
CAGUCGCCACGGGAAAACGUAGGGUGCAAGCGUUAAUCGGAAUUACUGGGCGUAAAGCGUGCGCAGGCGGUUCGUUAAGACAGAUGUGAAAUCCCCGGGCUUAACCUGGGAACUGCAUUUGUGACUGGCGGGCUAGAGUAUGGCAGAGGGGGGUAGAAUUCCACGUGUAGCAGUGAAAUGCGUAGAGAUGUGGAGGAAUACCGAUGGCGAAGGCAGCCCCCUGGGCCAAUACUGACGCUCAUGCACGAAAGCGUGGGGAGCAAACAGGAUUAGAGACCCCAGUAGUCCCUGUCUCUUAUAC